CCUACGGGGUGCUGCAGUGGGGAAUAUUGGACAAUGGGCGAAAGCCUGAUCCAGCCAUGCCGCGUGUGUGAAGAAGGCCUUCGGGUUGUAAAGCACUUUCAGUGGGGAAGAAAGCCUUGGGGCUAAUACCCUCGAGGAAGGACAUCACCCACAGAAGAAGCACCGGCUAACUCCGUGCCAGCAGCCGCGGUAAUACGGAGGGUGCGAGCGUUAAUCGGAAUUACUGGGCGUAAAGCGCGCGUAGGCGGUCUGAUAAGCCGGUUGUGAAAGCCCCGGGCUCAACCUGGGAACGGCAUCCGGAACUGUCAGGCUAGAGUGCAGGAGAGGAAGGUAGAAUUCCCGGUGUAGCGGUGAAAUGCGUAGAGAUCGGGAGGAAUACCAGUGGCGAAGGCGGUCUUCUGGACUGACACUGACGCUGAGGUGCGAAAGCGUGGGUAGCAAACAGGAUUAGAUACCCGGGUAGUC
rnacentral:rRNA from 1 species